rnacentral:rRNA from 1 species
UAGGGAAUCUUCCGCAAUGGGCGAAAGCUUGACGGAGCAACGCCGCGUGAGUGAUGAAGGUCUUCGGAUCGUAAAACUCUGUUAUUAGGGAAGAACAAAUGUGUAAGUAACUAUGCACGUCUUGACGGUACCUAAUCAGAAAGCCACGGCUAACUACGUGCCAGCAGCCGCGGUAAUACGUAGGUGGCAAGCGUUAUCCGGAAUUAUUGGGCGUAAAGCGCGCGUAGGCGGUUUUUUAAGUCUGAUGUGAAAGCCCACGGCUCAACCGUUGAGGGUCAUUGGACACUGGAAAACUUGAGUGCAGAAGAGGCAAGUGGAAUUCCCUGUGUAGCGGUGAAAUGCGCAGAGAUAUGGAGGAACCCCAGUGGCGAAGGCGACUUUAUGGUCUGUAAAUGACGCUGAUGUGCGAAAGCGUGGGGAUCAAACAGG